AGCUGGGCAGUUUGCGUUUGGUCCCAUCCUGCUCCAGUGACGGACUGCUAUUGCUCAUCUGUGGGCUGGAGGAAGGGGGAUCAGGUCAAAGCACAAUCACAAGGUUGAAGAAUUUGCUGGUAAAACCCGCCCCCAGCAGUUUUUCAGAGGGUGUCAGCAAAUUCAUGUCGCAAUAACCAGGUUGAUCCAGGCAGGUUGAGCUCAUAUGACUUGGCUGACAGUCCACCUAGGAGGACAAUGCUGACCACAAAAGCAGGGCCAUGUGCAGAGCAGUGUGCUGGACUGACCAACUCAUCAGGCUUUGAGGCUCCACAUGAGUCCUGCCAAUAAGCAGAAAUCUUGGAGGCAGCUCAAUGUCUCCACUACAAAGGACCCUGUCACCAGAGAUGUGCUAAGUGACGUCAUCACCGAGUCCCUUCUUGCAGAGUCAAACUGCAAGCCAGCCCAGACCUGCCGCCCUCAUGAAGGAAUGGCAGAUUUUUGAUUUUGGAAGGCGUCCAAAAUAUUUUUAUCGGCGCGCCGCGAUCCGCUUCAAUGCGCCGCACAGUGCUGCACGGCGCCGCACUCCAGCCUCCUGAGACCCGCUGAUGCGCGGCACCAUGUGGCACUGGUGGGAAACAUGCAUAACAAUGGUGUCACGGCAGACCGUACUUCAUAAACACACUAUCUAAACAUGCAAUCAACUCAGCGUCCCGCAGCAUGCUGAUGUUUUUUAGUUUUUUUUGCAGAUCAUUCUUAUUUUGAAAAAACAUGGAAAAAGCUUGAUCGUAAAUUUGGAUCGACUAGAAAAAGCAUAGUGUUUGCCAUUUAGUGUGAUUUUGAUGUCUGAUUUUCUGAAAUGCAUUUUUUCACUCUUAAAACAAGUUAUCUUACCUCUGAAAAAAAGUCUUUCUCAAUAACUGAAAAAAAACUUGUUACAAAUGUGUGGAAUAAAAAUCAAGAAAGCAGUGUGCGUUACAUAAAACGGCCGUUAAUAAGCUUGGGAUUUUCCCUUGAGCACACGCUUGUUGGGAUUUCUCAUAGUCAGCUCCCGAACAAUGCCUAAGGAAAACACUACUACAUACGGGGUACACGAUGCACAGCCACCGUGUUGGCAGAGUUGCAACACUAAUGUCAACUUGAUUCUAACUAUCCAGCACAUCAUGAUUGAUCGUACAUGUACAAGCAAGGAUUGGGAAGAGAAUAGCCUAGACAGCUUUUGGCUUCCCUUCACUGCUUUCCCUCACCACAGAUGACUUGGAUUCUGUCAAAUACCAUCCUCGGAUACUGGAGGCUGCGUGUGUAUGCGUACAUCCUGUACUACAUGUGCAGUACAUGUAAUGUUAGGCAACUUUCAUGUCGGUAAUUGGCCGCAUGCACUCGGUGAGUAGGCCGAGUAAGGCGACCAUUAUGAACUAUUUUAUUCGUUUGCUCAAAGUGGCUGCAUGAUUUCGCAGGUGACUUUCAGCUGGUUUUAGUGGGUUAAUUUGUCCAUUCCUUUAGACCCCCAAUCAAUUGAAAUGUAGGAUAUAGCAUUGGAUGGAUAAGGUAGUUGAUUUUCUUUGUACAUCAUCGAGGCACUCCUGAGAGUAUGAGAAAGGUAGGGGUCUCACUGACUGAGUACAUGUAUAUUUGAAAAUUUGAUGACAUAAAAUGAUGAAUAUUUAUGCUAGCACAGUAGCAGCAAUGAUACGUAUGUUUCAGAGGGAAAUUAUUAACAGUGCAUGUCCCAUUUUUAGGAUCACUUGCAUAAGUGAUGAGAGCCACGAGAAUAUGUGCCAGGCAAGCAGCUGCUUCAUUUCAUGAAAUUUACGUCGCAUUUUCACCUUUUGGAAAUAAAAAUCCC